UAAUACAGAGACCUCAAGCGUUAUCCGGAAUCAUUGGGCGUAAAGCGUACCGAUAGGUGGUUAUGCAAGUCAGAUGUGAAAUCUCCGAGCUCAACUCGGAAUCUGUCAUUUGAAACUGCACAACUAGAGGGGCAAAGAGGAAGCUAGAACGAACGGUGUAGUAGUGAAAUGCGUUGAUAUCGUUCGGAAUACCGAUAGCGAAGGCAGGCUUCUGGGUGCCACCUGACACUGCUAGGACGAAAGCGUGGGGAGCGAAUGGGAUUAGAUACCCCAGUAGUCCACGCUGUAAACGAUGUACGUUAGGUGCUAGAGAGUAUCGACCCUCUUUAGUGCCACAGCUAACGCGUUAAACGUACCGCCUGGGGAGUACGGCCGCAAGGCUA
rnacentral:rRNA from 1 species